GUGCACGCUGGCGGUAGGCCUAACACAUGCAAGUCGAACGGCAGCACAGUAAGAGCUUGCUCUUACGGGUGGCGAGUGGCGGACGGGUGAGGAAUACAUCGGAAUCUACUUUUUCGUGGGGGAUAACGUAGGGAAACUUACGCUAAUACCGCAUACGACCUACGGGUGAAAGCAGGGGAUCUUCGGACCUUGCGCGAUUGAAUGAGCCGAUGUCGGAUUAGCUAGUUGGCGGGGUAAAGGCCCACCAAGGCGACGAUCCGUAGCUGGUCUGAGAGGAUGAUCAGCCACACUGGAACUGAGACACGGUCCAGACUCCUACGGGAGGCAGCAGUGGGGAAUAUUGGACAAUGGGCGCAAGCCUGAUCCAGCCAUACCGUGUGGGUGAAGAAGGCCUUCGGGUUGUAAAGCCCUUUUGUUGGGAAAGAAAAGCAGCAGGUUAAUACCCCGCUGUUCUGACGGUACCCAAAGAAUAAGCACCGGCUAACUUCGUG
rnacentral:rRNA from 1 species